rnacentral:rRNA from 1 species
GACAGAGGGUGCAAACGUUGCUCGGAAUUACUGGGCGUAAAGCGCGUGUAGGCGGGCUAGUAAGUCGGACGUGAAAUCCCUGGGCUCAACCCAGGAACUGCAUCCGAGACUAUUAGCCUUGAGUGGUGGAGAGGGAAGCAGAAUUCCUGGUGUAGAGGUGAAAUUCGUAGAUAUCAGGAGGAACACCGGUGGCGAAGGCGGCUUCCUGGACACUAACUGACGCUGAGACGCGAAAGCGUGGGGAGCAAACAGG